rnacentral:pre_miRNA from 1 species
GUCAUCGCCAUCUUACUGGGCAGCAUUGGAUGGAGUCUGGUCUCUAAUACUGCCUGGUAAUGAUGACGGCGGG